GAUGAACGCUAGCGGCAGGCCUAAUACAUGCAAGUCGAACGGAUAUAUGUUUUUCGGAAUAUAUAUUAGUGGCGCACGGGUGAGUAACACGUACAUAACUUGCCCUCAAGCGGGGGAUAGCCUUGGGAAACUGAGAGUAAUACCCCAUAGAAUUAUUGGACGGCAUCGUUUGAUAAUUAAAACUACGGUGCUUGGGGAUAGAUGUGCGUCUGAUUAGCUAGUUGGUGAGGUAACUGCUCACCAAGGCGACGAUCAGUAGGGGGCGUGAGAGCGUGGCCCCCCACACGGGUACUGAGACACGGACCCGACUCCUACGGGAGGCAGCAGUAAGGAAUAUUGGUCAAUGGAGGGAACUCUGAACCAGCCAUGCCGCGUGAAGGAUGACGGCCCUCUGGGUUGUAAACUUCUUUUGGAUGGGGCGAAAAAACGGGNUUUAUCCUGGACUGACGGUACCAUCAGAAUAAGCACCGGCUAACUCCGUGCCAGCAGCCGCGGUAAUAGUCGUU
rnacentral:rRNA from 1 species